ACAAGUUUGUUUUGAAAUUCACCAUUCACAACGAACCUCCAGAGGGACAGGACUCAUUAUAAUUACAUAAUCAAUUUGGUGCUUGAAAAUGCUUCAAAGGAAGAGGACUGGAAUUCGAUGUUAAUAUUGGAAAGAGAGUGUUAGAUAUUACGUCCGUGAUGCUCCGAAACUUGAGGGUACUGACGAUAACAUAAAGGUCUGGCUGUCUGAUCUGAAGGCCUUAUUUUCUGACUCCACAUCCAACAAAGACAAUAUCCGUGCGCAAGAUGCCGUAGACCAGCUCUAUAAGCUGGAGAGAGACGAACUUGUGAUUGGACGUUCAGACAUCGAAGCAGCACUUGACCUGUUGAACAGAGCAAGCAAUAAUGGCUGAACAGCAACGUGCGUUAGAGAGAGAAACUGGGGAUUUCGUCGAAGUGCUUGAAAAUGAAGCUGAAGUUACCAUCGACCGUAUACAAGAUGUUGGAAGUAUAGUUAAACAUGAAUUAGAGAGGAAAGCGUCGGUCCUUGGUGACGUGCUCCAGUACGAGACAGAUGUAGGCGUCCAUGCUAUACAAGAUGCUGAAGACAAAGCCCUCCAGAACAUAAAAGGGUUGAAUGAAGAUGAACAGACCUCGUUUAAAUCAGAUCUGAAGAAAGGUCUCAUCGUAUAUCAUGGCACAAAUAACUGCUCGCUACCGCUUGGUCCUUGCUUAGAUCUGGAGAUUCAGGACUUGAGGACCUCUAUUUAUGGCCAAACAUUAGUAGGGUUAUUCUUCAGUCGAUUCAUAAAGACAAGACAUCAAUAGAACAGACUACAGAACCUCUUUCGAAUUUGGAACAGUUGUUCAGUUCGAAAGGUAUCAUAUUUCUCACCGCAGACGCUGGUGUUGGAAAGACAUCAUUUUGUAAGUUUUUAGUUUUAUCGUGGUGUAAGGUUCAAGAGGGAACGACCGAUCUGAAAUCAACGGUUAGUGGCACCCAAAACGUUUCUAGCAUUAUUGAGUAUUUGAAGGAAUUUACUUAUUUGUUUUACGUCAAUUUACGUGAAAACCAAUGCGCUAAAUUAGAGGAUAUCAUUUUCUCGCAUACGGAAUCUGUUGACACAAAGUUAACGCGGGAUAAUAAAGCCUUUGAUAAUAUAUUGUCGAAAGAAAACGGUUUGUUCAUUUUAGACGGCUUAGAUGAAUGUAAAAUUCCCUUGAUAAUGUCUAUGCCUGUAAAUAGAAAGUAUACUGUUCUCAUUACAUCACGUCCUUGGAAACUUGCAAACAUAAGUAUGCAAAAAAAAUAUACACAUGCACAAAUUGAGGUUAUGAAACAAGAUUUGUCCAAACAACUUGUGAAUCUUGCGAACGAAUGUUUGAACAAGCAUUUCAAGACAUCAUAUGAUACAGAUGAUUUCUUAGACGCUGUCAAAACUCAAUGUUUAGAAUCUCAGCUCGAAAAUCCAAUGUUUGCGCUGCAGUUGUUAUGUAUCUAUCACGAUAAACGCAGUGAGAAUAAAACAUGUUCGGACAAUGCAACCGUUCACAGAUUAUGUUCAGAUUCCGGUACAACGUAGUACCUCGUCAGACCGGACUGACAUACCUUGGUAAGACAAGGUCGCAUGUAUAUGCAAAUAUGAUAGAACUGAUGUUACGUAGUACCGAAAAGAAGGAGGAAUCACUCGUACAAGAUCUCAGUGAGUAUUACAAGAACAAUGGUCAACCACAUGCACUUCCCGAAUGUUUUGAUGAAAGAAAUUACGCGUGCUGUGGUUUAGCAAAACUAAUUUACGCUAUUGGAAAACUGGCUGCUUAUUCACUCUUAGGCGAUAAUAAAUCUUUAAUAGAAGAACACCAAAUAAGAAAACUUAAGAAAGAUGAAACGUCGGUACUUCUCAAAUCUGGACUUCUUUCGAAAACAAGCUUGAAAACUAUAUCAGGAGAGAGCAAUGUGUACACAUUUUUACAUCAGACUUAUAAGGAGAUGCUUGCAUGUGUGUUUCUAUCUUCGCAUGGUUUUGAUAGUGAUAUUUGGAGAAAAUUCAUAGAAAAUUUUGGUUCUGUUGUGUCA